rnacentral:rRNA from 1 species
UACGUAGGGUGCAAGCGUUAAUCGGAAUUACUGGGCGUAAAGCGUGCGCAGGCGGUUUUGUAAGUUUGUCGUGAAAUCCCCGGGCUCCAACCUGGGAAUGGCGAUGAAGACUGCAAGGCUAGAAUCUGGCAGAGGGGGGUAGAAUUCCACGUGUAGCAGUGAAAUGCGUAGAGAUGUGGAGGAACACCGAUGGCGAAGGCAGCCCCCUGGGUCAAGAUUGACGCU